CAGGCGAUGCAAGCGUUACUCGGAAUUACUGGGCGUAAAGCGUCUGUAGGCGACUCAAAAAGUCUGAGGUCAAAUGUCGGGGCUUAACCCCGUCAACGUCUCGGAAACUCUUGGGAUUGAGCAAUGCAGAGGUAUCUGGAAUGCCGUGAGUAGGAGUAAAAUCCGUUGAUACACGGUAGAACGCCAAAAGCGAAGGCAGGAUACUAGGCAUUAGCUGACGCUGAGAGACGGAAGCGUGGGGAGCAAAGGGGAUUAGAUACCCCCGUAGUCCACGCCCUAAACGAUGUGUGCUCGAUGUAGGACAUUUUCAAUUGUGUUCUGUGUCUUAGCUAACGCGGUAAGCACACCGCCUGGGAAGUACGGUCGCAAGACUA
rnacentral:rRNA from 1 species